rnacentral:rRNA from 1 species
UACGGAGGGUGCGAGCGUUGUCCGGAAUCACUGGGCGUAAAGGGCGCGUAGGCGGCUUGUCACGCGUGCGGUGAAAGUCCGGGGCUCAACCCUGGAUCGGCCGUGCGGACGGGCAGGCUUGAGCACAGUAGAGGCGGGUGGAAUUCCGGGUGUAGCGGUGGAAUGCGUAGAGAUCCGGAAGAACACCAGUGGCGAAGGCGGCCCGCUGGGCUGUGGCUGACGCUGAGGCGGCGACAGCGUGGGGAGCAAACGAGGACUUGAUAAAGACCC